rnacentral:rRNA from 1 species
CGGUAAUUCCAGCUCCAAUAGCGUAUACUAAAGUUGUUGCAGUUAAAAAGCUCGUAGUUGGAUUUCUGUGGGGGCGGAGCGGCCGGCCGCAACUCGCGGUUCGAGCUAGCGCUUCCCCUACAUCCUGCCGCGAACCGUGCUACCAUUAGUUUGGUGGCGCCGGGGAUCGGCUCGUUUACUUUGAGAAAAAUAGAGUGUUCAAAGCAGGCCACACGCCUUGAAUAAGUUAGCAUGGAAUAAUAAUAAAGGACUUCGGUUCUAUUUUGUUGGUGUUCGGGACUGAAGUAAUGAUUGAUAGGGACAGUUGGGGCGGUCAGUAUUCCAAAGCGAGAGGUGAAAUUCUUAGACCUUCGGAAGACUAACAGCUGCGAAAGCGUUCCGCAAGGAUGUUCCCUUUGAUCAAGAACGAAAGUUGGGGGAUCGAAGACGAUCAGAUACCGUCGUAGUCUCAACUAUAAACUAUACCAGCUAGGGAUCGGCCAACGUUAAAUUAUCCGACUUGGUCGGCACCUUAUGAGAAAUCAAAGCAUCUGGGUUCCGGGGGGAGUAUGGUCGCAAGGCUGAAACUUAAAGGAAUUGACGGAAGGGCACCACCAGCCGUGGAGCCUGUGGCUUAAUUUGACUCAACACGGGAAAACUUACCAGGUCCAGACAUAGUAAGGAUUGACAGAUUGAUAGCUCUUUCUUGAUUCUGUGGGUGGUGGUGCAUGGCCGUUCUUAGUUGGUGGAGUGAUUUGUCUGGUUAAUUCCGUUAACGAACGAGACCCCAGCCUGCUAAAUAGCGCGGUUGAGCUUUGCUCGGCGCGAGCUUCUUAGAGGGACUAUGAUGCGCGAUAGCACAUGGAAGUUUGGGGCAAUAACAGGUCUGUGAUGCCCUUAGAUGUUCUGGGCCGCACACGGGCUACACUGGCGCCUGCAACGAGCAUAUCAGCUGGCCCGAGAGGGUCUUGGCUAAUCUUUUGAACCGGCGCCGUGCUUGGGAUUGACCAUUGCAAUUGUUGGUCAUGCAACGAGGAAUGCCUUGUAAACGCGAGUCAUCAACUCGCAUUGAAUACGUCCCUGCCCUUUGUACACACCGCCCGUCGCUCCUACCGGUGAAUGUUCCGAUGAAAUUUUCGGAGAGCGCUUGUGAAGUUGGCUCUGCCUUCCGAACGAGAGGCUCAAAGUCACUUAAAUCUGAACAUUUCGAGGAAGGAGAAGUCGUAACAAGGUAGCCGU